rnacentral:rRNA from 1 species
AUUGAACGCUGGCGGCGUGCUUAACACAUGCAAGUCGAGCGGCAGCGCGGGAGCAAUCCUGGCGGCGAGCGGCGAACGGGUGAGUAAUGCUUCGGAAUCUGCCCUUCAGUGGGGAAUAACCAGUCGAAAGACUGGCUAAUACCGCAUACGAACUGAGGUUGAAAGCAGGGGAUCGCAAGACCUUGCGCUGAUGGAUGAGCCGAAGUCGGAUUAGCUUGUUGGUGGGGUAAUGGCCUACCAAGGCGACGAUCCGUAGCUGGUCUGAGAGGACGACCAGCCACACUGGGACUGAGACACGGCCCAGACUCCUACGGGAGGCAGCAGUGGGGAAUAUUGGACAAUGGGGGCAACCCUGAUCCAGCGACGCCGCGUGUGUGAAGAAGGCCUGCGGGUUGUAAAGCACUUUUAGUGGGGAGGAAGGUCUGCGACCUAACACGUCGUGGAAUUGACUUAACCCACAGAAAAGCACCGGCUAACUCUGU